AUUGAACGCUGGCGGCAGGCCUAACACAUGCAAGUCGAGCGAGCGGCGGACGGGUUAGUAAUGUAUGGGGACUGCCCGAUAGAGGGCGAUCACUACUGGAAACGGUUGCUAAUACCGCAUACUAUCGGAUAACCCAUAUGGGAUUAGCUAGUAGGUGGGGUAAAGGCUCACCGCGGCGACGAUCUCUAGCUGGUCUGAGAGGAUGAUCAGCCACACUGGGACGGAGACACGGCCCAGAAGCCUACGGAGGCAGUAGUGGAGAAGAUUGCACAAUGGGCGCAAGCCUGAUGCAGCCAUGCUGCGUUUAUGAAGAAGGCCAUAGGGUUGUAAACUCCUUUCACCAUCGACGCGGUAGAUGGAGAAGAAGCACCGGCUAACUACGUGCCAGCAGCCGCGGUAAUAC
rnacentral:rRNA from 1 species